rnacentral:lncRNA from 1 species
CCUUGAUGGAUAAUAAGUAUAAUACACUUGAACAGCUUGUUGAGCUAGCACAAAAGCAUCAUUGACAUAUAUUUUUGAUUCAUGUUUGAUUUCAAUAAGCUCAUACCGUCGAUCAACCUUCAUAUAAUUAUCAUUAUCAAAUCAUCGGUACUUAAAUAGAAUGAUACUAUUACCUCCAAUGUAGGUCAACUUGAUCACUUUUUCGAUUAUUCCAUAGUAAUCACUCUCUAUCUUUGCCCAUCAGCUGCCCUUUACACACACACC